rnacentral:rRNA from 1 species
GAUGAACGCUAGCUACAGGCUUAACACAUGCAAGUCGAGGGGAAACGACAUCGAAAGCUUGCUUUUGAUGGGCGUCGACCGGCGCACGGGUGAGUAACGCGUAUCCAACCUGCCUACCACUUGGGGAUAACCUUGCGAAAGUAAGACUAAUACCCAAUGACGUCUCUAGAAGACAUCUGAAAGAGAUUAAAGAUUGAUCGGUGAUGGAUGGGGAUGAGUCUGAUGAGCUUGUUGGCGGGGGUAACGGCCCACCAAGGCGACGAUCAGUAGGGGUUCUGAGAGGAAGGCCCCCCACAUUGGAACUGAGACACGGUCCAAACUCCUACGGGAGGCAGCAGUGAGGAAUAUUGGUCAAUGGGCGAGAGCCUGAACCAGCCAAGUAGCGUGCAGGAUGACGGCCCUAUGGGUUGUAAACUGCUUUUAUAAGGGAAUAAAGUGAGUCUCGUGAGACUUUUUGCAUGUACCUUAUGAAUAAGGACCGGCUAAUUCCGUGCCAGCCGCCGCGGUAA